UUUAUAUUUUUAAUUUUAAAAAUAUAUAAUUUCUCUUAAUUUAACUUUGAAAACUUAUUUUUUAAUUUAAAAUUUUAAUUUUUUUACCCGUUACAACCGUUUUCUUAUCUUUUGAAAAAUUAAAAUUACACGUUUACAACAAUAUUCUCUCUUUUUCCAGAACGUUCCAUCUGGGUAAUCUUAUCCCAUACAGAACUUUUUCUGCACAAGUCUCCUGCAGGGCAGAACAUAACCGUAUUUGCAUUACAAAUCGAAUUUCGACAAGGUAAAGAAAUUGAGGCAAAGCUCAUACCUCGCCUCUUUCACUCCCAUCAGUGCCCUCUAAAUCCAUGGCAAUGGUGAAAGGCACAAUUCCUCCUCGCCAUCAAGCUUCGCCUUCAUAUGCCUGCAAAGUAGUGGAGUCAGACAACUCAGGGAAUUUGGAUAGAGAAGUGUGUUGGCACUGGGCCUUUCACCAUGUUCAUGGAUUUAGAGGGUGCUGAUGUACAUCUUAGAUUUUCUGAAGAACGAUUUGAGAAAAGAUUACACUGCCAAGAAGAAGGGUGCAGAAAGGAAGAAAGCAGUUCUGGGAGUGUAAUUGUAAGGGGCGACUGAAAGCAACGGGAAAAGGUAAGUUUUUAAAUUUUAGGGAUAAAUUUUCCUUUUUCAAAAUUAAAUUGGGAGAAAGGGAUAUGAUUUUAUUAUUUUUUUAAUAUUACUUUUAUAAUUAACUGAUUUUUUUAAUAGUAAUACUUGUUAGAUAUAUAUAGAUUUUUUAAAAUUAACGAGUAUGAGUUUGAUGAUAAACUAAAUCUUCGGUGAAAGUAAAUCUUUUCGCCAUAAAAAAAUAAAGUCAUGGAAGUACCAGAGUUACUCUCCUGUAUAAAGUAAGCAAGCUUCAUCUCUUCCUUGACUUUUCAGUUCAGUUAAAAAACUAUCAAAUUUCUCUUUAAAUCAUUUGUUUUCAGAUGCUGUAUGGAAUGUAAAAUGCAGUUAGAACUUGGCGAUCCAAGAUAAGCAAAAAGUCUUGCUUUUACCCUAGUUGUUUGCUUUAUGUGUUGUCAUGAGUGUUUGAAGAUGAACUAAUUCAAGUUUAUCUUGAACUCAUACUAUCAGAUGACUUAACUCAAGCUUGUUCAAGAUGGCUAAAGAUUUUUUUAGAGAGUCUUCAGUGAGAUAAAUAGUAUCAUUAACAAAAUAAUUAGUAUCAUCAACAAAUUGAAUAAUGUCAUUGAUAAGAUAAACAUUAUUAUCAGAGAGGGAUUUGAGCCAAACUUGAAAUGAUUUACAAACUAAAGCUCUGGCUUGGCUCAAAUCAAGCGAGACAUUAAGCUGGUUUAGUUCGAAUUCAAUCUUAAGUGUCAUAAUGCAGAAUCAAAACGGUUAGAAACUAAAUUAAACAAGAUAAAUCCUAUUAGUCUAUUUGUUUAAUACUAGAGAAAAAAAAAAGAGUAUAACCUAGUUAGUAUAGAAAACUAAGAACUUAUAUUAUCACUGAUAACUGUAACUGUUAGAAAAGAAGCAAUCUUAUUUUCUCAAAUCAUUAACUUUGUCCCUAAAACUUAAUGUAACUUGACUACCCUGAUCUGCGUCAUGGUAGGAUGAUGACUGGUGAGAAGAAAUAGAUCUUUACAGUUUAAGAUGAACCAGAGUCCCAACAAUUUUGAAAGCUUAAUUAUGCUUUGAUAGGAGAGGAUUCCAAAUCCUACUCUUUUUGUCUAAUAUGAGCACUUCGCUAUAUUGUCAACAGAAAAAAGUAUGAAAAUGUUCUACUAAUAGGGAGGUUAAAAAGCUGAAUAAUGAGGAAAAAAAGACUAAUCAAACCUUGGUUGGAAGAAAAUGGUUCAUUAUCUGGGCAUAGAGCAACUUAUCCAAACGUGAAACUUCUCAAAAAAUUAACAGUAUUAGAUAUUUCUGGUAAUAAGUGAUUUUACCCAUGUUUCAAAAUGCUCAAAUCUCGUCCCAGAAAGGUUUUAUGAUUGUGGUUACAUAUGGCUUGUACGAUGUUUGAACCACUGGAGAACAUCUGUUUGGGCGGAGGCGUUAGAUUUCUCAGCCUCUUGUUGUUGCUUCCACCGUUUUGGGGUCGAUGCUUUUUUUAUAGACAAAGCAUGGAUUUGCUUCAUCUCCUCUUCCAGGGCGGAAUUCCCAAGCUGAUUCCUCUCCAGCAGCCUCUUCUCUUCAAAUUGUGAUAAUAAAAUCUCAGCUACAGAACGUGCACCACAUCUGACCAACAUAGAAAAGUUCAUUUAUGUUGUAACAAAGGAAGAAAGCCUAACGAUAGUUCAGGAACUCAGAAUAAAGUUAUUUUGCAAUAAGAAACCCACCAGGUGUAUCGACCACUUCCUGAAAAACCAAAGUCGAUGAAUUAGUUCACUUUUUCUAAGAGAAAAAGGUCAUCUCUCAGUAUAUACUUGGAUAGAUUACAUGAAAGGAAAACAUUAGCAUUCCAUCAAGUGCACAUGAAAUUAAACCCAAGUCUAACAGUUCGGUCUCAGCACAAGAAAUGCUGCCAUGCACCGUCUGGGUGGCCUAAUAUGAAGCUUGAAACUUGUCAAGAUGGCCCGAUGACAAUUUCAUAGUUGUACCAGGCAACCAUCUAAAUGUGGCCAAACAUACAAGGUACUGCUAGUUACCGAGGUUCUAAUAUUGUUUCUUAUGUACUUGAAAACGUAAUAGACACUAAAUAAUUCUACAAAUAUAUAUGAGAAAUUUAUAAGCAUGGCCAUCGUAACAACAUAAACAUGUCAAAUGACAAGCCAAAAAACAAGAGCUUUCAUAUCUAUGGAUUUUCUAGCCAGUUUUCUAUUAAGGGAAAUAAUUAGUUGGAGAUUUCCUGUAUCAGGUUGGAUAAACAUUAAUUGUAUAUUUGGUAUAAUUAGAUAGUUGUAUAUUUCAUAUCUCAUUGUUAGGUUUAAUUUUCACUCAUCUCAUUUUUAGGCUUAACUUCCUCAAUCUUUUCCUGUAAUUUUGUUUUAUCAAGAAAUGUUAUGUAUCUUUUUUUUCUUAUAUAUUAUCAAUGAAAAUCAUGGCUGGAAUACAGUGAAAAAUACCACAA